rnacentral:tRNA from 1 species
GAGGAUUUAACUCAGUGGUAGAGCACGUGCUUAGCAUGCAGGAGGUCCUGGGUUCAAUCCCCAGCACCUCCA